rnacentral:rRNA from 1 species
AGUCUAGCGGACAGAAGGGAGCUUGCUCCCGGAUGUUAGCGGCGGACGGGUGAGUAACACGUGGGUAACCUGCCUGUAAGACUGGGAUAACUCCGGGAAACCGGAGCUAAUACCGGAUAGUUCCUUGAACCGCAUGGUUCAAGGAUGAAAGACGGUUUCGGCUGUCACUUACAGAUGGACCCGCGGCGCAUUAGCUAGUUGGUGAGGUAACGGCUCACCAAGGCGACGAUGCGUAGCCGACCUGAGAGGGUGAUCGGCCACACUGGGACUGAGACACGGCCCAGACUCCUACGGGAGGCAGCAGUAGGGAAUCUUCCGCAAUGGACGAAAGUCUGACGGAGCAACGCCGCGUGAGUGAUGAAGGUUUUCGGAUCGUAAAGCUCUGUUGUUAGGGAAGAACAAGUGCAAGAGUAACUGCUUGCACCUUGACGGUACCUAACCAGAAAGCCACGGCUAACUACGUGCCAGCAGCCGCGGUAAUACGUAGGUGGCAAGCGUUGUCCGGAAUUAUUGGGCGUAAAGGGCUCGCAGGCGGUUUCUUAAGUCUGAUGUGAAAGCCCCCGGCUCAACCGGGGAGGGUCAUUGGAAACUGGGAAACUUGAGUGCAGAAGAGGAGAGUGGAAUUCCACGUGUAGCGGUGAAAUGCGUAGAGAUGUGGAGGAAACACCAGUGGCGAAGGCGACUCUCUGGUCUGUAACUGACGCUGAGGAGCGAAAAGCGUGGGGAGCGAACAGGAUUAGAUACCCUGGUAGUCCACGCCGUAAACGAUGAGUGCUAAGUGUUAGGGGGUUUCCGCCCCUUAGUGCUGCAGCUAACGCAUUAAGCACUCCGCCUGGGGAGUACGGUCGCAAGACUGAAACUCAAAGGAAUUGACGGGGGCCCGCACAAGCGGUGGAGCAUGUGGUUUAAUUCGAAGCAACGCGAAGAACCUUACCAGGUCUUGACAUCCUCUGACAACCCUAGAGAUAGGGCUUUCCCUUCGGGGACAGAGUGACAGGUGGUGCAUGGUUGUCGUCAGCUCGUGUCGUGAGAUGUUGGGUUAAGUCCCGCAACGAGCGCAACCCUUGAUCUUAGUUGCCAGCAUUCAGUUGGGCACUCUAAGGUGACUGCCGGUGACAAACCGGAGGAAGGUGGGGAUGACGUCAAAUCAUCAUGCCCCUUAUGACCUGGGCUACACACGUGCUACAAUGGACAGAACAAAGGGCUGCGAGACCGCAAGGUUUAGCCAAUCCCACAAAUCUGUUCUCAGUUCGGAUCGCAGUCUGCAACUCGACUGCGUGAAGCUGGAAUCGCUAGUAAUCGCGGAUCAGCAUGCCGCGGUGAAUCCGUUCCAGGCCCUUGUACACACCGCCCGUCACCCCACGAGAGUUUGCAACACCCGAAGUCGGUGAGGUAACCUUUA